AUUGAACGCUGGCGGCAGGCCUAACACAUGCAAGUCGAACGAGUGGCGGACGGGUGAGUAAUGUCUGGGAAACUGCCCGAUGGAGGGGGAUAACUACUGGAAACGGUAGCUAAUACCGCAUACCAUCGGAUGUGCCCAGAUGGGAUUAGCUAGUAGGUGGGGUAACGGCUCACCUAGGCGACGAGGCCGAGCUGGUCUGAGAGGAUGACCAGCCACAAGUGAACUGAGACACGGUCCAGACUCCUACGGGAGGCAGCAGUUGGGAAUAUUGCACAAUGGGCGCAAGCCUGAUGCAGCCAUGCCGCGUGUAUGAAGAAGGCCUUCGGGUUGGAAAGUACUUUCAGCGAGGAGGCGUUACUCGCAGAAGAAGCACCGGCUAACUCCGUGCCAGCAGCCGCGGUAAUAC
rnacentral:rRNA from 1 species